UUCACUUAAACUACUUGAACCUGCUAAGAACAGAUUGAAGUAAAAUCUGGAAAUCAGUUCUCACAGGAAAUUAGCAUUUUACUUUUAGGUGCUGCACAUUCAUACACCACUAUUGUUUCUUAUACCGUUGUGUAAUUCUACACAAAUAUUGAUUAGUAAUUUCGUAAAUCUGAAAACCACAAUUCCCAGGUGAUGACCAUGACCCUAGAAAAAGUCUAGAGAAAACAACCUCAUUACGAGACGUACCUUGCAAUAGAUGUUUAUUUAACGGGAAACCCGCAAGAGCAGCUGCCCAGUGCAACAGUACAUAUUUGCUUCUGAAUCCUUUCUCAAAGGCACUAUUUAAACAUGUUGAUGAACUGAGCUGAAUUUCUCCCCACCUCCAUUCCAGCAAAACAAGGAGACUCAGAAGAUAAAGUUUGUUUUGCUAUUGCAAGCAGUGCUAUGUGUGAACAUUUCUGUUUGACAUGACAUAGCAAUUCUGCACCAAUGGUGCUUGAAAUAGGCGAGCAUUUAAGAUUGAUAGAUAUUAUAUGGUUUACCGCUGAGUAUGCACUGCACACCAGCCAAGGCAAUGGGACACCGUGAGUGUUGAACAGAUUUAGGAAAUGACUAAGCCUCUCUCCCAGGCUUAUGUGUGCAAAUGGUCUCUUUUUAACUUUGGACUCCAAAGUCAAAUAUGCCAAUUCACAUUUCUUCCCUUACUUCUUUUUCUAUUUUUCAGCUACAUGAUUUACAGGAACAAAGUGAUCUGAUAAUCCUCAGGUUUUUCUCUUACUGGAAAUUGUAAAACUGCAUCAAGCAAAUGCUGAGAUAUGUGAUCUCUCUGCACUGAAGAACAUUUUUAGCAAGGAUUGCACCUACAAAGGUGAACAUUGUAACAAUUCUUACUAACAAUCACAUUGUGAUGUUUAACAAAGAGUAGGUAAAGUCCUAUAUUAUUUAUUAAAUUCUAAAUUUUAUACAUAUAUAUUACAUUUUAUAAGGUUUUAUAUUCCGUUGCAUCAGUAUUAUACUGGCAUAUUAAUACACAUAAUAUUAACCUGUGUUAUGGACAAAGACGGGAUGAUGCUCUUGGCAAUGCAAAGGAAGGGGACCAUUUCUAAGCAGUCAUCCCAUGUGACUUGUGGCACAGUUAGCCCUGUAAACAUGGGGUAGAGAGCAGCAUCAUUUAUUUUGACCAAAUAAACAACAGCUAUGGACAGAAAAAAAUAUUAAUUGAAUUAAGGUUAUGAUUGCAACCUUUGGCAUUUUCUGCUGCUUGAUUUCUUAAUUGGGUAAAUAAUUUACACAUUGCUCCUUUGCUUAAGUAGUAUUUCUAGAUUUACUUUUGUGUUUAUUUCUCUCUUUAAAGUGAAAAAUCAGAGCAAAAUCAGACAAUAGGAAGAGUUUAAGUCUUUUGGCACUUACUUUAAAAUUAGUUUUGGGAAAGCAUGGUUUUGUUACACGGAGUCCACAUAAAAAGCUACCACCUUCUUUUACUCAAACCUUCCAGGACAUUUCACCUUCAGUCAGAGCCCAAAUGGAAAUUUUUAGAAAGAGUGAAAACUUUUGAGGUUACUGAGGUAUGAUAAUAUGGGAGAAGUGGGUAAGAAGAUGUUGCAGUGUUCUUGGCCAAUGUGUUCCAGCAGCUAUGUCACCACCCCUGCACUUGCAAAAUCAGUGUCUUUUUCUCCAGGGGUCUCUAGCUCCUCCUUUCCUUCCCCACUUAUGUUUUUCUCUGUAGAAAUAUAUGUUAGCUACAGGAGAAGUGAGAGUGACUUAGUGGAAAAGGAAGAGAGAUGGAUAGACACAACAAGAAAAAAACAUGCAAUAAGAAAAUGGUGGAGCAGACUGUGAAAGACAGGCUGUGUGUAUGUUCAGGCAAAUACUGGGAUGAGACAAAAAUAGAGUGUUUAAUGUAUGCCUGUAGCAAUUAUCAAUAUUAAUAUGACCAUGUAAUGGCUGUUAGAAGCAUAAAAGUAGGAGAAUAAAAAUUGAUCACAGAAUUUAUACAAACCAUUAUGGUAAUUUAAAUCCUUAUUAUCAGUGUUUACUUAUGUCUUAGAGUAGAAUAAUGAACCUCUAAUUGCAGGCAAGCAAUUUUAUGUCAGAAUAAAUCAGAACUUGGGUGCUAUGAUACCAUUUAUCCAACAAUACAGUUGAUUUUGGCACUCAUUCAACCUUCUUUAUAUUAAGUUUUAAUUCAAAGCAUCUGAAACACACUAUUAAUAAAGCUGUUAGAUGCAACCUAUAUAUGAUGAAAUGUUUCCCAUCCUCUCUCUUUUUUUUUAGCUUCCGGCCCCACAGGCCUUAUUUUUACAGUACAGAUUCACUUUUUGAUCUCUAAACUAAGAGAAACAAAGAACCAAACAAAAUAAAACACACAUACAUCAAGAAGAGUUGAUUUCUGAGGCUGGAAGGAUGAAAUGCAGAAUGACUUCUUGUUCCAGGAAUGUUUUGUUAAGCAUUCAGAAAUAUUGUUUUCUGAAGGAACUAUACAGAUUAAAUGUUCUGGAACAAUGUCCCAUCAAAAUACCAAUGACUGUAUUUUAAAAACAGAUCUUAAUCUUAGUCUAGAAUAGAGUAGGUAUCUGUUUUAAUUUAUUCUAGUUUCAGUGUGUAUUAAACAAGAUGUGACCUGUCCUGAACUUAUGGCUCAUUUGAGAAGUAAUAUAAAAUGUUAUGAAAGGACAGACAUGCUAAUAGGAUAGCAAAAAAACCACCCUGUGUCAACACUCAGACUCCUGAAUGUCUCAGGCAGCCAUUGCAAAGGUCUGUAGCCAGC